AGCGAACGCUGGCGGCAGGCCUAACACAUGCAAGUCGAACGAACCUUUCGGGGUUAGUGGCGGACGGGUGAGUAACACGUGGGAACGUGCCUUUAGGUUCGGAAUAACUCAGGGAAACUUGUGCUAAUACCGAAUGUGCCCUUCGGAGGAAAGAUUAAUCGCCUUUAGAGCGGCCCGCGUCUGAUUAGCUAGUUGGUUGAGGUAAUGGCUCACCAAGGCGACGAUCAGUAGCUGGUCUGAGAGGAUGAUCAGCCACAUUGGGACUGAGACACGGCCCAAACUCCUACGGGAGGCAGCAGUGGGGAAUCUUGCGCAAUGGGCGAAAGCCUGACGCAGCCAUGCCGCGUGAAUGAUGAAGGUCUUAGGAUUGUAAAAUUCUUUCACCGGGGACGAUAAUGACGGUACCCGGAGAAGAAGCCCCGGCUAACUUCGUG
rnacentral:rRNA from 1 species